UACGAAGGGGGCUAGCGUUGUUCGGAAUUACUGGGCGUAAAGCGCACGUAGGCGGACAUUUAAGUCAGGGGUGAAAUCCCAGAGCUCAACUCUGGAACUGCCUUUGAUACUGGGUGUCUUGAGUAUGGAAGAGGUGAGUGGAAUUCCGAGUGUAGAGGUGAAAUUCGUAGAUAUUCGGAAGAACACCAGUGGCGAAGGCGGCUCACUGGUCCGGUACUGACGCUGAGGUGCGAAAGCGUGGGGAGCAAACAGG
rnacentral:rRNA from 1 species